rfam:Aerococcus christensenii strain CCTG28831, complete genome.
GCGCCUAUAGUGUAAUGGAUAUCACGCAAGAUUCCGGUUCUUGCGAUGGGGGUUCGAUUCCCUCUAGGCGCG